CUUUGCCUGGGGUCUGGAAUACAAAGGCAAACAACAAUGACAAAGGUGUAAGUUGGAACACCACUACUUCAGCUUAUUUCAAAUUAGGGAUUGUAAGGAGAAUUGAGAUGAGGGCUGUGAAAACAUUUUGUAAAUGAUAGAGCAGUGAUGGUGAUGAAGAAGGUGAUGGUGAAGAUGAUGAUAUUGCUCCUCUUCUUCAUUGCAAAAUGAGUGAGAAAAAGCUUCUUCCUGCUCCUGCAGAGAAGGAAGAUCCACCAAACUCCUCCUCCAUCUGGAGAUCGUGCCUUUAUCCAGGCUUUGGUAUGUGACUAACAGAACACAGGAAGUUCUCAAGGAGGUGCUGAUGGAGGUGAGAACAAGUACAGGCAAGGGCCCCUGUUAUCUGGCCACAGUUUCUGUCUGCACUUACACUCUCUGUUUGAUUUUGAUCCUUUCUUAGGACCAUAAGGGAAUUUAUUCAUUUAAAAUGAGGAAUGGAUACUCCCCAUAUUCCAUACCUUACCCUUAAAGAGUUUAUAAUCUAGCCAGCCAUGCACACACCACAUGCGCACGCACACACGCAUAAAUAGAACAUAGCAAGAAAUUUGAGCACACCUCUCAUAAAAGGAUGCACAGUGUGGAGAUCUUCACAGAGAACAUGAAUGUGAUCAGGUGCUGGAACAAUUAAAUGGGUGUGAAACAAAGAUGGAGAGAGGUUGCCAGUCAGAGAGGACGGAAUGAACAACAUGAAAAUGGUAGAUCUGGUUUUCCAUUAGUACAAGGUGGCUGGAGCUUAGAGUUCUUGGCAGAGAGUGGCAAAACCAGGUGGAAAGGGAAAUAGGGUAAAACUGUGAAAGGCUUUGGGUGCCAUGGUGGGGUUUAGACUCUGUCCUUAAGUGCCAAAGAGCCAUCAGUGUUUUAUAAGGAUCUGUGUGACUUGAUCCAAUCUGUGUUUUAGGAAGUUAACUGGCUUUUGUAGAUGAAAACAUAGAAUAUCUUCAUGAGUUUGGGCUUAAGAGUGAGAGGGCAGUAAGAAUCUCAAGAGGCAGGCAGACCAGAUACCAGAGCAAUCCAGAGAGGUAAAAGACCUAAACUAGGGCAGUGCCGAUGGGAAGGAUGAAGAAGGAGAUAGUCAAGAGAUAUUUUAGUGGUAACACCAAUGAACAGUUCCAGUGAACAGUGAAAAAGAAGAAUACGAAAGAAGAAGAAUGCAAUUGAUGUUUUGAGCUUGAAGUUUUAGACAAUAUUUGUCCUUAACGAAAAAUGGGCACCCAAGAAAGUGUAACUGACUCACAGAGGAUGGUGACGUGUUUCAUCUGAGACAUGUUUAGUUUUACUCUAGCACAUUCAGGUGAACUUAUUCAGAAGGCAGUUGUGAAUUUGGAUGAAGUCAAACAUAUAAAUGGUGUCAUCAGCUAUUAUCAAAGCUGUGUGAUCAGAUAGGAUCAUACAUAGAGAGAGUUUUGAGUAGGAGGUGUUUGGAAACACCUAUAGUUAAAUAAGCAGAUUGAAGAAACAUAAUCCUAAAAGAUAAAAAGUCAUCUUUGUGUAAAAAGAAAUCUGUUAUAAGAUCAAUGACUUGAUCUUACACUAAAGUGGUGCUUGAGGUCUCAUUUCCAUCCCUAAUCACAUCCUUGGGACUAAUGACUAUAUUCAUUCUAAAGACAUUCUGAGUGCCUAUCAUAAGUUUAGCAUUGUUCUGGGGAUGUGGGGAUACAAAAACAAAUCAGACAUAGAUCUUGCCCCAAGAAGGAUGAAGCUCAAUGUCAAGAGAGAAUAUGAACAGCUGGUACUUUUGUUAUUGUUGAACCUGAUGUGUAUUGACAACGUUCAAAAGACAACAUCAAUACUGCUACAACUGCUGCAGUUUCGGAAGGUGUUUCAAGCUUGUGGAAGUUCCACCGAUGUAAGCCUAGAUCAUGACCAGACAAUGUAGCCCUUCUCUGCACGAGCCAGGCCCUUAACCACAAAGUGGGCAAACGGGCAGGACCAACCAACCGAAAUUGUAGGGCAAUCUUGUCUUAGUUUUCCUGUACUAUUUCCUUACAAACCUGACUCUUACUCUUUCUGAUGCUUGCUUCAAACCUCAGUGGCUUUGAGUCCCACCAUGGCUGCCCAGGGAACCCUCUCAACAGAGGAGUGCCCAUGCUUUCAACUGCACGGGCACCAGCAGAAUGCAUUCUCCUAUAUCCCAUGCCUGUGUCUUUAUCACCUAAGGACAGAGUCUGGGGAUAUGUUAUUUUUGAAUGGCAAUAGGUGGGAAUGUGGUUAAUCAGAAAAACCAGGUUCUCCCAAAAAACAUGCCACUGUAUACCUUCCCAUGAAAUCUCUGAAAGACAUAAUAGUUGUUUGCAAUGUGGCAGCUUAGUGAUCACAUUGUUUUUGCCAGGAGCUUUUCUACACCUUUCAGAUCAUGUCACAUUAACUCAUUCAUACCGUAUUUAUGGAUUCCACAAUAUUUGUUAAAAAAUCAAGUGUCUGCCAGGCGUAGGACCAAGUGCCACAGUGCUGUGCUGUUGGCUACUCCUGAUUUGUCUCGUCCCUAUUCGGGUAAAAGUCUUUUGCGAUGAAAACACAAUUCAAUAGGCAGCUACUGUUUAUAAAAUCCUAAGUAAGUUCAGCAUGGUCUAUUGAUUCUCAAUCUGUUUUUAAUCUGUUUUGUUAAAUUACUUAUGGCUUGUUAUAAAUAUUCAUAUAUGCUAAUCAUUUCCCUGUGUUAAUUUAAAUCACAGUAUUUAAAAUGACCUCAUCAGCCUGUGUAGGUUCUGUAAAAGUUACAUUUGUGUUUAAUUAAUUGACAACAUUGAACCAAAUCAGAUUUAUAUUUAAAAAGCAUUCUUUUUUUUAUUGUUUGCUUCCUUGGCUUGGAAAAUAAAGAAAGUGCUGGUAGUCCCACAACUGAUCAGAGGA